rnacentral:lncRNA from 1 species
UUGAAACUACCAAGGAACAGACUAAGAAAAAUGCCACCUGUGGAUUUAGGCCAAGUUAAAAUUAGUAUGUAUAUUUAACUUUCACUUUGCAACUCUCAGUCUCAGAACUGAAAGAACUCCAAGCAGGGACUUUCAAAUGCAGCAAGCAUCCAUUUUUCACUCUUCACAGAACUGUGUUAGAUGUUUCACCGUAUGACUUCUUUUUUUAAAGCAUGAAGUACUAUCUAAGCUUGCAACAUAAUUCAGUAGAAAAGACUGAAAUAAAUAAGUAAAGUGAGAUUCUUACUUAUCUCUGUUUUUUUAAUCUCAUUG